CCAAAGGUUUUAUUUGCACCCUAUUAUUCAAAGGACUUCCCAAAACCACAAAAUAUUAAUUUUGAAGUUAUGG
rfam:Hordeum vulgare subsp. vulgare, WGS project CAJW01000000 data, contig: morex_contig_171157